UGAUGACCAUAGCGAGUCGGUCCCACCCCUUCCCAUCCCGAACAGGACCGUGAAACGACUCCACGCCGAUGAUAGUGCGGAUUGCCCGUG
rnacentral:rRNA from 1 species